rnacentral:lncRNA from 1 species
UGUUUCAGGAAAUCCUCAGGGAAAAAAGAACAACAUCAGAGGGAAUACGGUAAAUUUUCUGAAAAUCUGUAAAUCGCCCCCAAUCAAAGUGACUGCUCUCCUGUUGCCUUAACAUCCCCUGCCUUUUAAUCUGAUACCAUUCAUUGGCUCACACGUCUCCUGAACAUCUGCUUCUACUUCCUCAACUGAUAGCUUAUGGAUGUUUCCCAGAUGAAGUUCUCUUUCUUUGUAUUUCCCACCUUCCAUGAUUUCCAAUUCCUUCUUUCCCCACUCCAUAGCAGUCUUUCCCAGUUGACAAUGGCUUUUUCCAUUGUCCAGGCCUGUGCUAUAAUGUCACUUAGGAGGUGGUGGGAUAAGGGGCACUAGGUUGAUAGGAACACCCUUUCCAUUUUGUAUAUUUUCCUGGACCAUAUCUCGUGUUAGGACGCCUGGACACAUUUCAUAUUCAUUGGCCAAUUUUGAUACCAGUGAUAUUUUCAUGAUCUAAGAGAUGAGAGAGGACUCUCACUUGCUGAGUUCAGUUUGUCCAUCCAUUGUCCUUUCAAGGCAGGUGCAAGUUCUGAUAUUGGCCAUUGGUCAAGUAUGAGUUUGAGGUUCAUUUUUCCACUGCGUUGGAACAUAUUACCCAAGCAUUCCAAAGUACACAAAAUUUUUUUAUGAUUCUCAUUGAAAUUUUAAUACAGACAACCAUACGAACAUUUCUUUCUCUUUAACUUUUUCAGUGAAACUAUUUAAUUUUAUUAAACUUCAAUUCCUGUUAUAUAUUUGCAGAAGGAAUUUAGUCCACAGGGAAUUUUUCUUUUUUUUCUUAUCUAUACCAUUUUUUUAUACCAGAGCUGCACCUGUGACAUAUGGAAGUUCCUGGGUUGGGGGUUGACUCAGAGCUAUAGCUGCCAGCCUAUGCCACAGCCAUGGCAAAACUGGAUCUUUAACCCACUCAUUGAGGCCAGGGAUCAAACCUGAAUCCUCAAGAGACUAUGAUGAUCCUUAACCCUCUGAGUCACAAUGGGAACUCCUCACAGGGAAUUUUCAAUUGCUACGUACCUCUCAAUUUUCAAUUUUUCAUGUGAUUGAUGUGGAAACUCUUACUUUGGAAUUUUGCCCAAGAUGGUAUCUUACAAUACAAACGCAAUUAGAAAUUUAACAUGCUCCAUGGAAUGGUAUUUUUAAUGAUAAUUUCUAUUUCAAAGGGAAACCAAUUUAAGUACAUAUAGACUUAAUGUUUGUAUGAAGCCAUACAUCUACACACAAAGUAUUGUGCAAUGGUGACUUGAGUCUAUGUUUCCUCUCUCUUUACAAGCACCUGUUUUGUGUUAUGAGUGCGUGUUUUCCUUUUACUCUGAAAAAGAUACAAGGCCAAGUACAAACCAACGAUUGAAAUAAUUCUAUAUCUUUUAAACCAGAGGGAGGGCUAUUUACUGCCUUCCAUUCUGUGAUUUCCAGCUCAGUCCCUUUGUCAUCAGAAGGUGCAUGGAAAUGAAAUGAUGCUUCCUUUGAUUGCUGAGAUAGUCUUUGAAUUUUGCAGUUCCAAUUCUCAGAAGACAACGAUCAGAAAUAACUUUGGAGGUGUUUGAAAGUUUUGUUUUCCUACUUCCUGGUAUUGUGCCCUCAUCUUGAAUGAAUUCUUUCUUUCUUUUUUGCAUUUAUUGACCAAUAUGAAGAGGAAACUGGUAAGUCCCAUGAAUGCAUUUCCCUGUGUGCUUAAGCAUGACUUUAUCGGUUAACUGUGCCUUUCCCUUCAACUUCCAAAGAUCAUCUUUCUCAAGCCCAACACGUGCAUAUUUUACAUGAUUUUUCCUGGGAUCUUACCUUUGCACCUGAAGCUUUCCCCAUAUAUUUGCUAUUCAAUCAUCCCUCAAUACUGCUAUUUGAUUUGUCCUGUUAUUGCAGUGUAUUCACAGACAUUCCUUUUAAGUUGAGCAUUUUUUACUAAUCAUAUGCCUCUGAAGUAAUGGUUUUUCACAGUGGCCAAAGUGAAAAUUUUGUCCAAGACAUGCUCAAGUCACAUGAUUUAGACCUACUUCACAUCCAUUAACACGUCUUUUCACGGAACAUAAUAAAAUCGUAUUUAAGUGUGGUUAAAAGAGAAACAUACACAAUAUUAUAUAUUCAUUGGAUAAUGAAAGUAUUCUUAGUAAUGGAGCCCAGGUGAUAUACCCUAUAGUACCUCUAGAAGCAAUGAUGUAAGAUCCUCCAAUUCAGUGUAUGUGGCUGUAUGUGUCAUGUAGAUAGCAUAAUAAACGGAUUGAAUACACACUUUAAUUAAAGGGCCAAGUACUUAUGACAUCCUAUAAACUGAACGAUAAAAGCCUAACUGUAUCCAAAGGGAUGAGGAACAUUUUAACGGUUAGCAUGAGAAGUUCCCGUUCUAAAACGUUCACGCAAAUCAGAAUACUCGCUCAUUUUAUGCCCAUUUUCAUUUAUGAAGAAUGCUCUUCAGAUAACACUGAGAUCUCAGCCACUGGAUAUGUGUAUACGUGUGUGAGUGUGCGAGUGCUUUUGUGUACAUGUGUUUAUUUGUGGGUGCAUCCACGUGGGUUUAAUAUGAAAUAUGAAUAGUGCCUUAAAUUUGUAUUACCUUCCCUUUUCUACAUUAUAUUUACAUUGAUAUCUCCAUUUUCCUUUUCAGAGGGACGUGAGAAAAGU